GUUGUGGCUCAGAGGUAUAGCAAUCACCUGGCAUGUGUGAGGUACUGGGUUUGAUCCUCAGCACCACGUAAAAAUAAAAUAGAGGUUUUAAAACAAAAUACCUUGGGGGCACUUUGCUUGUACAGGGGUACCUAGGAAGUUGUUUCUCCAGAAUCACCAUGCUCGGCCACCCAGGUACUCAGAGGCCACUGCAGCUGAGGUCCUAGGGGACCUGACUACUGCCUGAGCUGGGGGGCAGACCUUGACAUUGUCUACAUGGUAAUGGUUCUGCAAGAUACUAUAAUUAAAGCGUUAUGAAGGCUUCCACUGAGAUUUCAAAGGAAGGCCUGUGUGGCCAGGCCAAGGGUAGCGGGGUAAGAAUCCCUGCAGUUAGCCCGUGAGAGGGUGAUGUGUGAAGCUGUGGGACAGAAGCCACAGCUGCAGUGGAGAACCCAGGAUUAAGAGAUGCCAGUAAUAUGAAAAGUCUGCCAAGGGAAGCGGCUGGGUACAGAGAGAGCCAGCCUAUGAGAGAGGCCAGGGGACUGCAGUCAGCAAAGCCAUGGGGUGGGGCUGCCCAAGCCCUUUGGAGAUCACAUCACCAUGUGCCCUAGUUGCUACACAUGGAGCUAAAAGACUUGUUUUCCCAAGUGGAUUUUGAUCUUGUUUUGGUGCCAGCCCUUCUUUCUAUGCGUCUAUUUCUCCCCUUUGGAAUGAAAAAAAAAAUGUUUAUGCUAUGCCUUUCUACGUUGAAUAUCUGCAAUUCUGAUUUUUACAGGCACCCAUAGCCAAGAUAUGGCCUUGAAUCUGAGAUGAGAUUUUGGACUUAGAUUUUUGGGCAAUGCUGAAACUGUUGAGACUGUGGGGACUCUUGGAAAUGGACUUAAAUGUGUCUUGCAUUGUGAAAUGGGCAGGAGAUUUUGGACAUCAGGGGCUGCGUGUUACGGUUCAAAUAUGAAGUGUCCCUCAAAAUCUCCUGUGUUAAUUAAUGCAAGAGGUGAAAUUAUUCAAUUAUGAGAACUAUAACUGAAUCAGUGGGUUAAUCAACUUGAUGAAUUUGGAUGAACCAACUGGAUGUUGACUGGAGGAAGUUAGGUCACGGGGGGCAUGCCUUGGGGAUUAUAUCUUUUUUUCCCUGACUGCUUGAGCUCACUCUCUCUGGCUACCAUGAACUGAGCAGCUGUCCUCCUCCGUGCCCUUCCGCUGUGAUGUUCUGCCCCACUUCAGGACCAGAAUGAGGUAGUCAGCUCACCAUGGACUGGGCCUCUGAAACUGUGAGCCCAGAAUAAACGUUUCUUCCAUGAAGUUGUUCCUUUCAGGUAUUUUGGUCACCGUGAUGAAAAUCUAACCAACAUAGCCCCCAUCAUCUCAAACAGCACAGUAACAGCUCACCUCUGCUCUUGCCCCAUGUCGCAGGUCUUCCUGUUGCCACCAGUCACCUUUUUAAAACACUAACUUGAUUCCACAGCUCCCUUGCCUUCCUGGACUUUGUCCAUGGCUUACAGAGUAAAAUUCAGAUUCCCACUAGACCCUGUCUUCAAGAGCCUCUAUUAUCUGCCCCUGCCUGACUCUCCAAUUUCAGUUUCCCUACUCCUGAACCCCCAUGCUCUGGCCAGCCUGAGGUCCUCACACUCCUGCCAGGACCCAUGCCUUCUCCCCAUAUCCUGGAGUCAUAGGGGUGGGGGAAGCUUUUGCAGGCUGCUUCCUGUGCCUGAAAUGCUCUCCUCCUCCUUUGUCUGGCUUUCUUCUCUGUCCCUUAAACUCAGCCCAGAUAUCAGCUCUUAUCAACAAUCCUCACUAGAGCCAUUCAGAGUGCCAGACACACGGUGCACAUUCUGUGAAUCCUGGAUGGAUGGAUGCAUGGGUACCCGGGUACACAAACAGAGCACGGGUGGAUAGAUAGGUGGACAGGUGGGUGAACCGAUGGAGGCUUGAGUUGGAAUGGACCCAAAGGUAUCUCUCCUCGACUUCAUUAUCUGAGUUCCUUAAAGGAACGUCUUCAUUGGGUUAUGAUUUAAUGUUAUACUCUCUUGUCUUCAGAGAACCCUGAUCUGAGAAACUGACCAACUUAACAGCAUUUCUGUCUUUUAUGAAAACAGAAUUGAAUAUAUUGCCCACUGUGUCACUCAGUGUCCUUUAUACAAGGACUCAUGAUAAAUUCAUGCUUGGGGUUAUUUCCAGGAAACAUUUUGUCUCCGCAGAUGAAGAUGUGUAUUUUCUGCUGUCAGAAAAUAAAAAACUCUGCCAUCCGACGUGUUUCCAUUUUUGCUGUAGCUGACAAACAGGAAUACCCGGUUUUAUUACCUGAUUACCUCCAUGCCGUCUGACCAAUGCAGGGGCCGAAAAGCAGCAACUCUUUCUGCCUUCCUUAGGUGGAAUCAAUUCUGGCUUUAUUCUUUGAUGCCCUAUUUUGUACUUUUUAAUCUGAAAGCUGCCUCAAAUCAACUUAGCAGUAGAAAGAAGCCUUAAACAAACAUGUAUAGGUGACAAAAGACCCAGAAUGGAAGCUGGGGAAGGAAGGGCAAAGUACAGAGCAUCUAGUUGAGAGGGAUCCCAUCAAGGCCUCUGCAGGAACCUCAGGAUGCCCACCAUGAAGCGGGUCUGGCAGAAGGACUCAAGCAGGAAGUGAUGGGGCCGCUGAGUUCUAACUCUGUGGCUGCCUUACAGGGCCAACUCUGCCACGCCAUUUUCUUUUCCUCUGACAACUAUGGCCUUCCCUUUCCCCCGACUUUAAGUGGAGAUCUCAUAGGCUAUCAUUUUUGCAUUACCAGGUUGUGAAUACUAAUAGCCGACCACAAUAAUCGGUUUCUUUCCUUGAGGAUACACCAUGAGCCAGGCACAGUGCUGAGAACUUUGCAUUUCCCUAUUUCAACCUUCUCCCUACCCCAACCUGUCUGUCAUUUUUACCACUUUUCAGAUGAAGAAAUGCCAGAGAAAUUAAGCCACCAGCUAACAAGCAAGAGUUCUAAUUCGAGUGGGCCAGCUGUCACCGUCCACACUCGUAACUACCUCCUCACAUAUGGGAAACCAGGGACAACCAUGCUCCUCUUAGGAAAUCGUAGAGAUUGCCAAUGCUGGUGCCCAGAGAGAGGCCACUGAGUCACAGCGCUUUGCUUCCGGAACACUGCAGGUUUCUUUUCAAAUGGUUGGAUCCUUCAGUUACUGUCGUGAAACAGCUGAUUAAAACAGAAGAGGACUUAUCGCUCAUCUCUGCCUUGCACAAUCAUGGCCUGUGAUAGUUGCUCAAAAUCAAACAACCUGGAGAGGCUCACCUGAUGAUUUGAAACCAUCAAACAAUUUCCCCAGCACAGCUAAAAUUCUCCCUCCCUCCGCACAGCACAAAAGCUGUUGUUCAGAAGCUCUAAAGGCAUACAUUUCAAUGUAAUCAACAAGCAAACCAAUGUAUAGCACUUUUAUGUGGCUCUUAUGUGCCAGGUGUUGUUCUAGCAAUUACUAUGUGUUAAGCAAUUGCUUAGUAAUAGAACAUCUACCAUGAUUCUACAAAGCAAGUGUUCUUUAUUAUCGUCCUAUUUUACAGAGGAGGAAAGCAAGUGUUAUGGGUAGGAUUGUUCCUUCUGAAAUUCAUAUGUUAAAGUCCUAACCUCUGAUCUCUCAGAAUAUGGCAGUAUUUGGACCUAAGGCCUUUAAAGAGGAUGUUAAGAUAAAAUGAAGCCAUUAGGGCCAGCCUUAAUCAACUAUGCAAUGCUGAGGAUCAUACCCAGGGCCUCAUGCUUGCUAGCAAGUGCUGCCCCACCAGUGAGCUAUCGCCCUAGUCCUGGUGCUCUUUAAAGACAAGUGUCCUGCACAGAGGUCAUGGGAAGCGACAGGGAGAAAAAGGCCAUCUACCUACCAAGGAAAGGGACCUCAGAAAGAAGCCAGCUCUGCUGACACUUCGAUCUUGAACUUGUAUCUGGAAGAAAUGUGAAGAAAUAAAGUUCUAUUAUUUAAACCCA